GAUGAACGCUGGCGGCGUGCCUAAUACAUGCAAGUCGAGCGAACAGACGAGGAGCUUGCUCCUCUGACGUUAGCGGCGGACGGGUGAGUAACACGUGGAUAACCUACCUAUAAGACUGGGAUAACUUCGGGAAACCGGAGCUAAUACCGGAUAAUAUAUUGAACCGCAUGGUUCAAUAGUGAAAGACGGUUUUGCUGUCACUUAUAGAUGGAUCCGCGCCGCAUUAGCUAGUUGGUAAGGUAACGGCUUACCAAGGCAACGAUGCGUAGCCGACCUGAGAGGGUGAUCGGCCACCUGGGAAGUGAACCACGGUCCAGGCGCCUGAGGGAGGCAGCAGUAGGGUAUCUUCCGCAAUGGGCGAAAGCUUGACGGAGCAACGCGGCGUGAGUGAUGAAGGUCUUCGGAUCGUAAAACUCUGUUAUUAGGGAAGAACAAAUGUGUAAGUAACUAUGCACGGCUUGACGGUACCUAAUCAGAAAGCCACGGCUAACUACGUG
rnacentral:rRNA from 1 species